rnacentral:rRNA from 1 species
UACGGGGGGGGGCAAGCGUUGUUCGGAAUUACUGGGCGUAAAGGGCUCGUAGGCGGCCAACUAAGUCGGAUGUGAAAUCCCCAAGCUUAACUUGGGAACUGCAUCCGAUACUGGAUGGCUUGAAUCCGGGAGAGGGAUGCAGAAUUCCAGGUGUAGCGGUGAAAUGCGUAGAGAUGUGGAGGAACACCAAUGGCGAAGGCAGCCUCCUGGGCCAACACUGACACUCAUGCACGAAAGCGUGGGGAGCAAACAGG